UACAGAGGGUGCAAGCGUUAAUCGGAAUUACUGGGCGUAAAGCGUGCGUAGACGGUUAUUUAAGUCAGGUGUGAAAGCCCCGGGCUCAACCUGGGAAUUGCAUUUGAGACUGAAUAGCUAGGGUGCGGAAGAGGGAAGCGGAAUUUCCGGUGUAGCGGUGAAAUGCGUAGAUAUCGGAAGGAACACCAGUGGCGAAAGCGGCUUCCUGGUCCAGCACCGACGUUCAGGCACGAAAGCGUGGGGAUCAAACAGG
rnacentral:rRNA from 1 species